GCGGACAUAGUUCACCGGUAGAAUAUCAGCUUCCCAAGCUGAGGAAGCGGGUUCGAUUCCCGUUGUCCGCUCCA
rnacentral:tRNA from 1 species